CUAGUUGUAAUCUAGAUGGUAAGGAUACUUGACUCUCACCCAAGAGACCUGGGUUCCAGUCCCUACAAUGAAA
rfam:Picea glauca, whole genome shotgun sequence.